AUUUUAUGCAGCAAUGGCAGCAAUUGACAAUUAUGUCAUGAUUAUGUCGUUGACACCUAUUUCCAUCCUAUUUCUUAGACGUUUUAUAUUAUAUCUUGUGUUUUAAUGGUGUAGCUUGUAGCUAAUUGCUUUUUGACCGUUUAGAUGAUUUAACAGAUGCACUGAAGUUAAUUUUCAUCUUACUAGAACAGCACAUCCUACAUAAUAAGAAGACUGUUGCAACUUGGUUGCAAUUUUCAGCAUCCUUCAGUUUAUGAAAUUCGUCAGUAAAUAUUCAUACAGUAAUUAGUGCAUUAAAUUAGAAAAGUACCUUUUUGUUACUAGUUACAGUUAUCAACCCUGUUUCAGGUUCUAUGAUGGAUCAGUGGUGCUCAUCAUUUAAACAGUCACAAUCAGAUUUAAAGUGUUUCCAAUUCUUGUUUGGCUUUCUCUCCACCCUUGUAAAACUUUGGAACGUUGCAUGCUGCAGUUAACUAAGAUCAAGAAAGUAGAGAUGACAAAGAAGACAUAGUCAGAAUGAGAAACACUAAAACAUGUUAUCUUUCUUCCUGUGUUUGCCUUACUCUUUACAUUUGGAAUGUUGCAUUCUGCAGUUAAUUAAGAUCAUUGGUGCAGAAGACAAACAGGACACCCACAUUUGAAUGUUUUUUUUUUUAUUCAAUCUUUUUCUGCAUGAUUUUUAAUUGAAUUAAUUUUUGGUUUGCAUGUUUU